ensembl:misc_RNA 7SK 7SK RNA
GGAUAUGAGGGCAAUCUGGCUGCGACAUCUGUCACCCCAUUGAUCGCCAGGGUUGAUUCGGCUGAUCUGGCUGGCUAGACGGGUGUCCCCUUCCUCCCUCACCACUCCAGGUGCGUCCCUCCCAAAGCUGCGCGCUCAGUCGAAGAGGAUGGCCUUCCCCAAAUAGAGACUGACCGGUCUUAGGUUGAGGGUAUACAGAGUAGCUGCGCUCCCCUGAUAGAACCUCCAAACAAGCUCUCAAGGUUCUGAAAAAGACUUUCAUGCCUGAGGCUUCAAGGUCCCAGGUUCAAUCCCCAGAACUACCACAAAGCAAAUGUGAACAGUUCUGUGUUGU